UACGUAGGGUGCAAGCGUUAAUCGGAAUUACUGGGCGUAAAGCGUGCGCAGGCGGUGAUGUAAGACAGGUGUGAAAUCCCCGGGCUUAACCUGGGAACUGCAUUUGUGACUGCAUCGCUGGAGUGCGGCAGAGGGGGAUGGAAUUCCGCGUGUAGCAGUGAAAUGCGUAGAUAUGCGGAGGAACACCGAUGGCGAAGGCAAUCCCCUGGGCCUGCACUGACGCUCCAUGCACGAAAGCGUGGGGAGCAACAGG
rnacentral:rRNA from 1 species